rnacentral:rRNA from 1 species
UACAGAGGGUGCGAGCGUUAAUCGGAAUUACUGGGCGUAAAGCGCGCGUAGGCGGCUUUGCAAGUCGGGUGUGAAAUCCCCAGGCUUAACCUGGGAACUGCAUUCGAGACUGCAUUGCUAGAGUAUGGGAGAGGGAAGUGGAAUUUCCGGUGUAGCGGUGAAAUGCGUAGAUAUCGGUAGGAACACCAGUGGCGAAGGCGGUCUCCUGGAGCAGACUUGACGCUGAGGCGCGAAAGCUGGGGGAGCGAACGGG